rnacentral:rRNA from 1 species
CCUACGGGAGGCAGCAGUAGGGAAUUUUCGGCAAUGGGGGGAACCCUGACCGAGCAACGCCGCGUGAACGAAGAAGUUAUUCGUAAUGUAAAGUUCUUUUAACAGGGAAGAAAGAGAAAUUUGACGGUACCUGAAGAAUAAGCUCCGGCUAACUACGUGCCAGCAGCCGCGGUAAUACGUAGGGAGCGAGCGUUAUCCGGAAUUAUUGGUCGAAAAGGGUGCGUAGAUGGCAUAGUAAGUCUUUUUGAAAAAUGCUGGGCUCAACCCAGUAGGGCAAAAGAUACUGGAAAGCUAGAGUAUGACAGAGGCAAGUGGAACUACAUGUGUAGCGGUAAAAUGCGUAAAUAUAUGUAAGAACUCCAGUGGCGAAGGCGGCUUGCUGGGUCGAUACUGACAUUGAGGCACGAAAGCGUGGGGAGCAAACAGGAUUAGAUACCCCUGUAGUC